AGCAACAGGAAAUCCAACUUCAUGAACUUGUCUUUCACAAAUUGCUUCAAAUUAGAUCAAAAGGAACGCAGCGAAAUCAUCGAAAAUACUCACUCUACAGUUCAGUUUUUGACAAGCAAGUUUCGAGAGUAUAGAGAUCAAGUUAGAAUUCUUUUCCAAGGAAAUGAAAUCCCAGAAUGUUUCCAUGAACAAACAAUGGGAACUUCACUAAGCAUACAGUUGCCGCCAAAUUGGCAUCAGUUUCAG
rnacentral:misc_RNA from 1 species